rfam:Corynebacterium efficiens YS-314 DNA, complete genome.
AGCUUUUUUCGCGGCGGAGCUCGACCGCCCACACAAAUAAUCGUCAAAUUCAUUGACACCUACCGUGCUCAAUUCGGGGUCGAGCCAAUCGUGCGGGCGUUACGCAAUACGUCUGCGAAAAUUGCCCUG